rnacentral:rRNA from 1 species
CAUUUCUUUUUGUUUAUAAAUUAAAGUAAGACCUGCUCAAUGAAAUUUUAAAUAGCUGCGGUAUUUUGACUGUACAAAGGUAGCAUAAUCAUUAGUUUUUUAAUUGAAAGCUAGAAUGAAUGGUUUAACGAGAAAUAGGCUGUCUUUAUUUUAUUAAUAAAAUUUAAUUUUUUAGUUAAAAAGCUAAAAUUUUUUUAAAAGACGAGAAGACCCUAUAGAUCUUUAUUAAAUGAUUUAAUUUUUAUUUGUUGGUUUAUUUUUUAAAUUAAUUGAUUUAAUUUUAUUGGGGUGAUAUAAAGAUUUAAUUAACUCUUUUAUAUAAGAUAUUUAAUUUUGUUUAUUUUUUUGAUCCAUUAGUUUUGAUUGUUAGAUUAAGUUACCUUAGGGAUAACAGCGUAAUUUUUUUGAAGAGUUCUUAUCGAUAAAAAAGAUUGCGACCUCGAUGUUGGAUUAAGAAAAAAUUUUGGCGUAGAAUUUAAAAUUUUAAGUCUGUUCGACUUUUAAACUCUUACAUGAUCUGAGU